GUGCCAGUGGUGUAGUGGGAACACAUAACCUUCAUCUCAGUGAAUCGAUCAAGACUUCAAGGUUGGGUCCUGGGUUCGAACCCCGGCCGGCACA